rnacentral:lncRNA from 1 species
AGGUCUAGUCUUUCACUUUAUGCACCGAGAAUCUUUCUGAAUAGAAUAUGAGGCUCUUAUUAUUGGCCUCGAUGUCUCCGUCCUAACGGACUCGAUCAGUUAUUAACAUAUUCGAGUAGAUUGAUGCUUUUUUUUGGUUCAAUCCAGUGGUAAUAUAUAGCUACAAGAAGACUCUAGUGUUCAAGGUAGAGAAAAAUAAAUUCCUAGGCCUAUACACAUGCUUAGGCCUCUUCAAUUGGUCGGAGAAAGGUUGCCGUAGGUGAGACCGUGGAUGGCGAUUCUAUAGAAAGAUGCUUUUCCGCGUCCUCGUUAGUCCGGGGAGUAGCCCUUUCUUCGAGUAUGGAUGGUUUUGUACAUUCAUUCUGGAGCAACCAAGCGAGCAGAGCCCAACUACCAAUCCUGGAACUAGUGGCAAUCUAACGAAUUCGGGAAAGGCAGUUACCCUGCCGGGAAUAAAGCCUUCAUUUGUCCUCCUCCGAACCCGUUGGGAGCAAAAUCCUGGCCCUGAUGAGCCUGCUAAUUGGAUUGUGUACCGGGAGUGAGUGAGCUUAGGGCAUUGGCCCUUCCCGGAAUCUGCUAUGCGCCCCCCAAAAAGCGGUAAUAGAACCAAAGGGCGCCCUUAAAGCGAAGCGAAAACUUACAACCCUGGGGAGGCAAGCUUUCCGGUAGUAUCCCACGUGAUCUUAUAUCAUAGCUGAAGGCAAAAGUUUUUUUGUCUUUGAAGCAUGGGAACGGAGUUGGAGUCGUAGGCCCAUAACCCUUUUUGCCCCUACAGUUCCAAUCUAUAAAAAUAUUACAUACCAAAGGAGAGAUUCGCCCUAUAUAGAGAGGGAAUAAAAGGGAUUACCGAGAGUGGUGGGUGCUAAGCGCUUUUCAUCUCGUGUCAGACCAUUUGCUCUCGAUGACAGGCCCAUUUAAGUUGCCUUUUUUGAAUCCUUUGAAAGAGCUAUUUAGUCUUGAGUUUCCUGUCCUGUACUUUACUUUGGGUCAUUUUUUUAGUGUAGUGCCCUGGCGGUUAUAAUUAGAAUCGAAUCUCUCUAGUACGACUUCCUGUAAGCCAGUGCUUUGACCUAUUCUCUCUAUUGCUAAAAAUCCUUUCCCAGGCCAGCCAAUGGCAGUUAUCUCGCUUCUGCUAAGGUCCAUAGAUAGACUGGUACGGAGAAUAGAUAUACUUAGUGAAAAAAUUUUUGUGGAAAAAAAAGUAUCAACAGAAGCGGGCGUGUUCUUGGUGAGCUAUGAGAAUAUACGAAUUAAAAAAAAAAAAUGGUUGCUUUCUUUCCUUUCUCCCUCACUACAUCUCUUUCUAUCUCAAUAUCAUAAGAGAAGAAAGAAAGCUUUCUUCAUAUGCCCCAAACUCCCAUGCCUUUCCGCUUAAGAACCAAGCGGUCAUUUCCUUCUUCCUGAAUUGGGAGAGCAAUAAUCAGUCUCUCCUUUUUGUUGGGGGAGAGCAGUCAAAGAAUUCAAAAAAGAAUGAGAGGAAAAGAGACAUUAACGCGAGUUUCGGCAUCCCACCAUAAUUCUAUGGUUGAUCCAUCUGGAGCGUCUGGAUCGGCAAGGCAAGAAGUUCUUCAGGGGAUACCGGUUCAUGAGAUAUUUCCAGAUAUAGAUAUAUCGGACAUACUAACCUCCCCUUUCUACUUAGCCGGAGUGGUUCACAUCUCUGGUGAAAUUGAGGACCCGCUGACCAUCUCCAAGCUAUCUAUUUUUAAUCAAUUAUUGGUCCAUAUCCGGAUUUUUUGGAGGAGUAAUACAACCGGGCUAUACCCAAUACCUCCAACGCGAAUUGGACGUAAAGCGAGCAAAGCCCAACUACCAAUCCUGGAACUAGUGGCAAUCUAACGAAUUUGGGAAAGGCAGUUACCCUACCGAGAAUAAAGCCUUCAUUUGUCCUCCUCCUAACCCGUUGGGAGAAAAUCCUGGCCAUGAUGAGCCUACUAAUUGGAUUGUGUACCGGAAGUGAGUGAGCUUAGGGCAUUGGCCCUUCCCGGAAUAUGCUAUGCGCCCCCCAAAAAGCGGUAAUAGAACCAAAGGGCGCCCUUAAAGCUAAGCGAAAACUUACAACCCUAGGGAGGCAAGCUUUCCGGUAGUAUCCCACGUGAUCUUAUAUCAUAGCUGAAGGCAAAAGUUUUUUUUGUCUUUGAAGCAUGGGAACAGAGUUGGAGUCAUAGGCCCAAACCCUUUUUGCCCCUAUAAUUCCAAUCUAUAAAACUAUUACAUCUCUUGGUGAACUAUGAAUAUAUAGGAAUUAAAAAAUAAAAAUUGUUGAUUUCUUUCCUUUUUUCCUCACUACAUCUCUUUCUAUAUCAAUAUCAUAAGAGAAGAAAGAAAACUUUCUUCAUAUGCCCCAAACUCCCAUGCCUUUUUCGCUUAAAAAUCAAGCGGUCAUUUCUUUCUUCCUGAAUUGGGAGACCAAUAAUCAGUCUCUCCUUUUUAUUGGGGAGAGAGCAGACAAAGAAUUUAAAAAAGAAUGAGAGGAAAAGAGACAUUAACGCGAGUUUCGACAUCCCAUCAUAAUUCUAUGGUUGAUCCAUUUGAAGUGUCUGCAUCGGCAAGGCAAGAAGUUCUUCAGGGGAUACCGGUUCAUGAGAUAUUUCUAGAUAUAGAUAUAUCAGACAUACUAACCUCCCCUUUCUAUUUAGCCGGAGUGGUUCACAUCUCUGGUGAAAUUGAGGACCCGCUGACCAUCUCCAAGCUAUCUAUUUUUAAUCAAUUAUUGGUUCAUAUUCAGAUUUUUUGGAGGAGUAAGACAACCGGGCUAUACCCAAUACCUCCAAAACGAAUUGGACGUAACUAGUGCGGAAUUACUCCCGACUAAGCUAAACUUUAUGAUUAAUCGAGAGUACCAGAAUUGGUAUAUUCAUUUCGACGAA